UGUGGUACUGUAAGAGUCUAGGAGGGAUGCUUUGCAGAGUACUAGUAUAGAUAGCUAGCGCUGGAUAUUUUAGCACCCUGCAUUGUUUCAGAAGGAACAGAUGAGUCAGGAAGAAAAGAAGAAUCCAGCUGGGAUUCCCACUUCUGAUUCUAAGGAAGAAUUGAAGCCAACCCCUGAGGCAGCUGUGUUACCACAUGAGGAGCACUGGCUUAACUGUAAAUAGGAGAUUAUGGAUGAAGUUGCUAUGUUGCCAGGUCUUUAGCUUUUGAACUGAGUCACUAUGGGAUCUUAGGAAGAUUCCCAGUGAACAGAAAGCUUGUUAUUGUAUAUUCAUGAUGAAAAAUACAGUAAAACUUCUUUUUGAGUUUACAGCUUGCCUCGUUUGAUUCCAUGGGGCUUGGUUCAAAGCCUCCCCCUUCUCUUCUGACAACAGUCCAAGGAGUGCUGGAGGAGCAUGUCAGUGUGUAAGAAUGGAUAUGUCCAAAUACAUCCAGCCAGCAUCUCUUCUGCAGAGUCACAGGCCCUCCUUGCUGUGCUUGUCUGUCCCUGGCAGAGCUGAUGCACCCAUCACUGGAGUUGGUUUUGCCUCCCCAGACCCAAAUCCAAAAGACUGGUUAAAGAAUUGAGCUCAGUCCCUGCAGCCAUACAUCCCUAUCUCUGCCAUCAGCUGCUGCUUCCAGAGUAGGGACUGUGCUAAUAUGGAAUGAGCAAUGACAUGUCAGUGAAAGAUGAGGCUAAGAAUUUACUCUGAACCUGCUUAGCCACAAGGAAUUAUGCAGGAGAACAUGGGCAUGUGUUGAUGAAGUAGAAAAUCCUCUCUCUUGGUUGUUUAGGGAAGGAGAGGGCAUGGCUGUAAAUCUAGAAGAGUCGCUUAUCUGCAAAGGAAUGUUACAAGCAUGAGCAGAAGUGCCACGUCUUCUGCUUUGUGCUCUCUGCUAUCAUGCUGGGGUUUGUAAUCUGCUCAGUGAGGGUGAGAGGUGAAUUUCAUUUAGUAACAUAGAUCAAAAUGAUACUGGGCAUGGAAAAGAUUCUUCCUAAAUCACAUUAUGGGCCAGCAACUACCUGUUCAUCAAUCAAUGCUGACUGAAUCUCCUAUGCUGAAAGGUGCUUUGCACAGGCAAAAAGGCUUGCUACACUUCAGUGGGGCCAUGCUUCAGUGCAUGGAUCAGUUCACAGAUGGGUUUGCUGGGCUGGAAAGGAAUUCAGCAAAUUUCCACCCCAAAUGAGGAUUUUAAUGCUCUGUAGAGUUCUGUCAUUGUUCUGCAAAUGUAGACUGGUCUAUUUUAGAGUCCAGGGAAAGAGGCUUAAGAUAAGACUAAAUACCGUUGACACUGUACCUGGCAGCUAUAAAUCCAUCUGAAAGUGAUGCAGAAAUCCUCUGCUUGGUAGAGAGUAACCUGCAACAGGCAUAUACAAUCAUUUCGCACUGUGCUGUGCGUUCACUCCCUGGGAGCUUCAAACUCCAUAUUAAAUAUUAUGUUUGCUCCUCAAAAAUCUAGUUGACUUGGGAACCUUAUUCCUAAAAUCCUGCCUCUCUGCCUGGGCCUUGCUACCCCAAAUGAGCUGGAUAGGAUGGGCAGUGGAUGGCAGGAACCCUGUGCCUUGUUCAGCUGGUAGAGGUUUGGCCAGAUCUCCAGGGCUUCCCAGCACCCUGCUAGAAAAAGCUGAGGGCAAAAUAAUUUGUUGGACCCAAGCUGCUGCCCUGACAGUGGGUGAUUUUGCCUUUGCCUAAAGCCAUCCAUAAGCCAGUCCUUUCCUCCAGGGAUGGGAAGAUGCUGUGAGAUGGUGGCAAUACCUCUGCUGGAUUCUGUAUUACGUCCCCGGCUGAUGUCAUAUGUGAUGGUGGACAUAUAU